rnacentral:tRNA from 1 species
GAUGACUUCGGUCACGACGGUAUGGCGAGCUUUCGCCGUCCACGUUUCUCUUUCUUCAAGAAGACAAAAAACCGCGUCGACCGGUUCCCCGAAUGGGCCCGUAGCUCAGUUGGUUAGAGCACACGCUUGAUAAGCGUGGGGUCGGAAGUUCAAGUCUUCCCGGGCCCACCAUUUGCACCAGCAAAUGAAAUUUGCUGUAGCGAAUGAGGGUUAGGGAUGAUGGAAUGUUGGUGAUGCGGAUUGUUGCCGAACCUGGGCUUGUCCUGGGUGAUCGAGCUGGAGGGGCUGUAGCUCAGCUGGGAGAGCACCUGCUUUGCAAGCAGGGGGUCAGCGGUUCGAUCCCGCUCAGCUCCACCAAAUCGAUUGGUGUUGAGACUGACGGCAUUUGUCUUUUGAAGAAAUAAAAGUUUUGCACCGGCUUAUGGCUGGUGCGUGUUCUGCAUACAUUGUGAAGAGAAGAUUGAUCUGGAGGCUUCCAGGUGUUGUGGGUUUUGCCCAUGAUGUCCGAGCCCAGUUCCUGUGAAACCAUGGAUGGCCUAGCCGGCCGGAUGUGGUGGAGGAAUUGGAGGUAGGUAGGAAGCUUGUCGCUCUGGAUCGUCAGCGUAAACCGCGUAGCGGUUUAUCGCGUGUUGUUCGUUGCCUUUGGGCAGCGUCUGACGGACGAUCGGAUUA